rnacentral:rRNA from 1 species
AGACCCGAAACCCGGUGAUCUAGCCAUGGGCAGGUUGAAGGUUGGGUAACACUAACUGGAGGACCGAACCGACUAAUGUUGAAAAAUUAGCGGAUGACCUGUGGCUGGGGGUGAAAGGCCAAUCAAACCGGGAGAUAGCUGGUUCUCCCCGAAAGCUAUUUAGGUAGCGCCUCGUGAAUUCAUCUCCGGGGGUAGAGCACUGUUUCGGCUAGGGGGCCAUCCCGGCUUACCAACCCGAUGCAAACUGCGAAUACCGGAGAAUGUUAUCACGGGAGACACACGGCGGGUGCUAACGUCCGUCGUGAAGAGGGAAACAACCCAGACCGCCAGCUAAGGUCCCAAAGUCAUGGUUAAGUGGGAAACGAUGUGGGAAGGCCCAGACAGCCAGGAUGUUGGCUUAGAAGCAGCCAUCAUUUAAAGAAAGCGUAAUAGCUCACUGGUCGAGUCGGCCUGCGCGGAAGAUGUAACGGGGCUAAACCAUGCACCGAAGCUGCGGCAGCGACGCUGAUGCGUUGUUGGGUAGGGGAGCGUUCUGUAAGCCUGUGAAGGUGGCCUGUGAGGGUUGCUGGAGGUAUCAGAAGUGCGAAUGCUGACAUAAGUAACGAUAAAGCGGGUGAAAAGCCCGCUCGCCGGAAGACCAAGGGUUCCUGUCCAACGUUAAUCGGGGCAGGGUGAGUCGACCCCUAAGGCGAGGCCGAAAGGCGUAGUCGAUGGGAAACGGGUUAAUAUUCCCGUACUUGGUGUUACUGCGAAGGGGGGACGGAGAAGGCUAUGUUGGCCGGGCGACGGUUGUCCCGGUUUAAGCGUGUAGGUGUGUGUUCCAGGUAAAUCCGGUUCACUUUAACACUGAGGCGUGAUGACGAGGCACUACGGUGCUGAAGCAACAAAUGCCCUGCUUCCAGGAAAAGCCUCUAAGCAUCAGGUAACAUCAAAUCGUACCCCAAACCGACACAGGUGGUCAGGUAGAGAAUACCAAGGCGCUUGAGAGAACUCGGGUGAAGGAACUAGGCAAAAUGGUGCCGUAACUUCGGGAGAAGGCACGCUGACAUGUAGGUGAAGUGAUUUACUCAUGGAGCUGAAGUCAGUCGAAGAUACCAGCUGGCUGCAACUGUUUAUUAAAAACACAGCACUGUGCAAACACGAAAGUGGACGUAUACGGUGUGACGCCUGCCCGGUGCCGGAAGGUUAAUUGAUGGGGUCAGCGCAAGCGAAGCUCCUGAUCGAAGCCCCGGUAAACGGCGGCCGUAACUAUAACGGUCCUAAGGUAGCGAAAUUCCUUGUCGGGUAAGUUCCGACCUGCACGAAUGGCGUAAUGAUGGCCAGGCUGUCUCCACCCGAGACUCAGUGAAAUUGAACUCGCUGUGAAGAUGCAGUGUACCCGCGGCAAGACGGAAAGACCCCGUGAACCUUUACUAUAGCUUGACACUGAACAUUGAGCCUUGAUGUGUAGGAUAGGUGGGAGGCUUUGAAGUGUGGACGCCAGUCUGCAUGGAGCCGGCCUUGAAAUACCACCCUUUAAUGUUUGAUGUUCUAACGUGGACCCGU